ACACUGCGCAUGCUCGCCGGCCCCCGCCCCGCGCACGGCGUCAGCGUCUAGACGCAGGUGACCAGCAUCAUGUCCCACCGGGUCCCCUGCAGUCCCAGUGCACCUGCCUGCUCAUCCAGGGACCUGUCCUCACUGCCUGCUGCCUGCACUGUGUGGAAGGACAGAGGCUAAACGACGAAGCCUCGAGCUCUGGUCUCAUGGAAAUGGCAGCCUGCCCACCACCCACGCUUGCCCAGCCUUUCUUCACGCAUUAAAACGUGGAGAGUGGAAUCUUCUGGGCCCAGGUAAUGCGCCUUUGCUCCGACAUUCCCUUCACUACUCACUGGCGAGCUCAGUUGGAAAUUCACUCCCAAUAGGAGUUCCACGGCAGACACAUCAGAUUUGUGCCCUUGGCUCUGGACGAUAUGAAGAUGAAUAAGAAAGAAAUGGCCCUCACCCCCAUGGGACUUAGAUUACAGUGGAGGAGACAGACUUUACUUACAAAACUGUACGAACCAUUUUUAAUUAAGAUGGAAUAAAUACCAGGAAGGAAAAUACUGUUUGCAAAAUUUAACAGUACGGAGUGACUUCCCACAGAGGAGGUCGGCAGAAUUUAUUGAUUUAUCCAGAAUGAGCUCUGAGGACGCGUUUGCUUAUGUAGCAGGUGUAAUUUUCAAAUUCACCUCAGCCUGACUCACGUUGUCACCAGAGGAUACAGGUGAGAUUUUCAGAAACAAACUUUUCUUUGCUUACUAGCAA
ensembl:lncRNA RNF32-DT RNF32 divergent transcript